UCCCUGGGGGACUAGUGGUCAGUCCACAGUGCUCUCACUGCUGCGGCCUGGGUUCAAUUCCCCACCGCUGGGGUU
rnacentral:tRNA from 1 species